rnacentral:rRNA from 1 species
UACGUAGGGGGCAAGCGUUUUCCGGAAUCAUUGGGCGUAAAGAGCGCUUAGGCGGUCCGGUAAGUCCGCUCUGAAAGCCCGGGGCUCAACCCCGGGAGGCGGGCGGAUACUGUCGGGCUAGAGUCCGGAAGAGGCGAGUGGAAUUCCUGGUGUAGCGGUGAAAUGCGCAGAUAUCAGGAGGAACACCGAUGGCGAAGGCAGCUCGCUGGGACGGUACUGACGCUGAGGCGCGAAAGCGUGGGGAGCAAACAGG